rnacentral:ncRNA from 1 species
UAAAGUUUUAUUUUGGCUUUGAAUUUUAUUAUUGAUUUAUUUUAUAUGUAAGUUUUUGCAUGAAUUUUUGUUUAUUUUAAUAAUUAAUAAUUUUUAUAAUCUCAGUAAUUAACUUUAUAAAUCAAGGAAACUUGGAAUUAGUAAUUUCAUAUAGUAUUGGUUAAAUUUGUGCCAGCAUCCGCGGUUAUACAAAUAAUACAAAUAAAUUAUUUUUAAUGUAAGUUAAUAUAAAUUUUUAAAAAAUAAAUAUAGAUUUAUUAAGUGAAAUUUUAAAUUUAUUAAUUUUUUAUUUUUAAGAAUUUUAUAAGCUUAUAAAUUUUAUAUAAAAACUAGGAUUAGAUACCCUAUUAUUAUAAAUUUAAUUAAUAUUUUAUAAUUAAUAUUAUAUUAAUUUAUUAUUAAAUUUUAUAAAAUAGAAAUUUAAUAUUAUAUAUUUAUUAUUAAUAUAUUAAUUAAUUAAUUAUUAAAUUUUUUUAUUAUUUAAUUUAUAAAUUUAAGAUUAUAUAUUAUUAUUAUUUAAUAUUUUAUUAAAAUAAUAAAUAAUUAUAAUUUAAAAUAAAUUAAAUUUAUGAUCAAUUACUAUUUUAUAUUAUUAUUAUAAUAUUUUAUAAUUAAUUAUUAUAAAUUUAAUAAUAUUAUUUAUAUAAUAAUUAUUUAUAAAUUAAUUAAAUAUAAAUUUUUGAUAAUUUAAUAUAUAAAUAAAUAUAAAAUAAUUUUUAAAAUCAUUAUUAUUUUUAAAAUAAGAUAAGUCGUAACAUAGUAGAUGUACCGGAAGGUGUAUCUAGAAUGA